rnacentral:rRNA from 1 species
UACGUAGGGUCCGAGCGUUGUCCGGAGUGACUGGGCGUAAAGCGCGCGCAGGCGGCCCGCGAGGUGUCCUGUGAAAGCCCCGUGCUCAACGCGGGAGGGUCAGGGCAAACCGGCGGGCUUGAGGCCGGUAGAGGUGGGUGGAACUCCUGGUGGAGUGGUGAAAUGCGUAGAGAUCAGGAAGAACACCCGUGGCGAAGGCGGCCCACUGGGCCGGACCUGACGCUGAGACGCGAAAGCGUGGGGAGCAAACAGG